ensembl:processed_transcript Gm15910 predicted gene 15910
AACUGCGCUGUGCGGGCUCAUGGCUUCCGCCAUUGUCUUGAGGACUGGCUAAACACUGGCGUUGCUCUAUGCGAUCAGUGCAGAGCCGAAAACAAAUACGACCUUCUGCCUUGGAGCUCCCGUUAUGGCAGAGUCACUUGUUGAAGUAUCUGCAGUGAGUUAAAACUUCAGCUGAGCACUGGAGAGUUCAGAACAAAUCAAGGAAGGCUCCUGCAUCCUGAGGCACACACACAGAAGCAGGAACGGUUAACAUUGCGUUCCCUGUACCAAACACUAAGUCACGUAAGACAAAUGUGAUCUGAACUUGGCUUGCUUAUUUACUUAAGUCUCCAUCUCAGGAGCUGCUGUUGAAAGCUUCCUCCAAGAUGUCCUCUAGUUACCUGUGCCCAUGUUUCUUAGAUCUCAGUUUCAAACAUACAGUAAUGUUUGCUGAGUGAGUCAGAGUGAUAAAAAUGAUAAUAAGGAUGGAGUAAGAAUUCAAGUCUUUUCACCAGGAUUAAUGAAUGACUAGCAUAAAGGUUCUUUCGAUGUAAGGUUAUGAUGAUGUUGAUCCAGCACGGGCCAGAUAGUAUUUUAUAAAACAUUGACUCCUGAAAGCAAUGCUAACCUUUAUUCCUCUUGGAAAGAGAGAGAGGGUAGUUCCCAUAGUCAAAUCAGGUUAGGAGAAUCUACCUGAUUCCUUCAUGCGGUCCAUUUCAGAAAGACUCUCAUAUUACUGUACAUUUUAAAAUGUGAUACAUUACCUAUGCCCCACUAGAAAGAGGAAAGAAUACUGCCCAACUAUCAAAUGUCCUUAUCACAAUGUUUGUCUUAAAGAUUUAUUUAUUUUUAUUUCAUGGAUAGCAGUGUUUUGCCUGAAUGUCGGUGUAGCAUGCAUGUAGUACCAGCAGAGGCCAGAAGAGGGCACUGGAUCCCCUGGAACUGGAGUUAGCAGAAAGUUGGGAUCUGCCACGUGGAUGCUGGGACUCUGACCCAAGUCCUCUGCAAGAGCAGCCAGUGCUCUCCACAGCCGAGCCACCUCACCAACCCCCAUCACGAUGGGUUUUUUUUUUUUUAAGCUGAAUCCUCAUUAUGAAAAUAGCAGAGUGGAAAAAGCUGAGUAUUCAAAUUUGUGAAUAAAGACAGUAAUGUGUCGUAGCAUCAUCUGAUAAUUUACAGGGUAAAUAACAGAACUAAUAGUCCUCAUAUUAUAAAUGAAAAUUGACAAGCUUCUAGACUAAAACCCCUAAGAAGCAGUUAAUGCCUGAAGAAGUUACUUGGUGUGCUCACAGGCCUAUGUGACAGGAGCCGGGACCUGGAGGUUGUACCCAGCCCUUGACUACGUACGCUCUCCUCAGCGCAUGCUCUGUGGUACCUUACUAUGCCCCCUACUGCUAACUCACGUUCCCCAGGUCAUCUCCUGCCAGCUCCACGCCCCGCUAGGUACAGCUCCCUCGUCCUUGACACCCUUCCCUGUCCUCUGUGAAAUCUGGUCCCCGGAAGCCAUCCUGCCGUAUGGUGCAGAAAGCAGCAAGACACUUCUUACCCUGCUCCUGCCUCUAUAGUUAAACGACAAGGGAGUGUCUAUGAGGACUCACAAGAGCAUCCUUCCAGCGGCCAUCUUCCUGAGGCACUGUUCUGAUGCCUAAGGGUUGUUUGUUUUGUUUUGUUUUCUUCUUUCUUUCUGUUUUUUCUUUUUUCGAGACAGGGUUUCUCUGUGUAGCCCUGACUGUCCUGGAACUCACUCUGUAGACCAGGCUGGCCUCGAACUCAGAAAUCCGCCAGCCUCGGCCUCCCUAGUGCUGGGAUUAAAGGCGGGCGCCACCACUGCUUGUUCACCGACAUUCACCCGGUACACAGACAUGCCCGUGAUGUGACAGACGUGGUUCUGGUGUGAAUGGAGCAGUGAAUCAAACGGUCAAAAAUCUCAGCCUUUCUGGUACUUUACAGGAUCCAAGCAUUUCCUGUAACAAGAAAUACUUUGCCUGGCCACCCCAUCGUCCUCUCCGGGUUUUAGCCGACUGCUCCCCCGUUUCUUUUCUCCGCUUUCUUCUCUUGGAUAGCAAGAAGUGGAGGUUCUAUUCAACAAGGUUUGGGAAUUUUUCAGCUAAUGUAACACUUGAGAAUUCUGUCUAAUUGUAAAACUAAUAAUUAAUAAUAAUAAAUGUUAUAUAACUCUUAGUUUACAGUUGAAACCAUGGAAUAAAGGGUAGAAAAGGAUGCUUCUGGGGCCCCACAGCAAACUGGUAAUAAAAACAAACCAGUAAGGAAUAUAUAAUUUGUUUCUUCAUCAAUGCCAAAACUAUAGUAAAAGGCUCUGAAACUUGAGGUUAAGUUAUAUAAAAUCACAUGGGUGAUAUUAAAAUAUUAAUCAAUUGGAAUGAGUCGUCCUGAGAUAAUAUGUAUUCUGGCAAUAAAAUCUUAUAAAAUUACAACUGUAAAGAUAUUUACAAUGGUAGAAUUUCCUGGCUUGCCUAAAAUUCAAAUAAUCUAUUGAUUUAAAAUAAUAUCCUAUUCUCUGUAAUCGCCUGGCUGAAUAUAAGCAUCAUAAAGUAGUGUUGAAGGGAGAAGUAUUUAUCAUAAAAGUUAAUAUGUGUAACUGUGCAAGUAUAUAAUUUAUUAAUCCACUGUGUACCUAGUAAAUACUUUUGAAGCAUUUUUAGAUAAGUGAUACUCGUGUGGGCGUAUUAAAUACAGAUAAAGGGGGAAAUUAAGGAAUUUCUAACAGAUGUUAAGCUUUCCCAUAAAUAGUUGCUUUCGAAUGUGAAGACACAAAAUAUCUACAUAAGCCUAUUUAUCAUUUUGUCACUGUGUCUCAAUAACCUAGCUUAAAUAACUUUAAAUUACAAUGUAUCCAGC